UACGUAGGGUCCGAGCGUUGUCCGGAAUUAUUGGGCGUAAAGAGCGUGUAGGCGGCCAUGCAGGUCCGUUGUGAAAACUCGAGGCUCAACCUCGAGACGCCGGUGGAAACCGUGUGGCUAGAGUCCGGAAGAGGAGAGUGGAAUUCAUGGUGUAGCAGUGAAAUGCGUAGAGAUCAUGAGGAAGACCAGUGGCGAAGGCGGGUCUCUGGACAGUAACUGACGCUGAGGAGCGAAAGCGUGGGGAGCGAACAGG
rnacentral:rRNA from 1 species